CUGAGGACGUCGCUCAGCCUCCCUGUUCAGCUGAGGUCGUCGCUCAGCCCGCCUGUUCAGCUGAGGUCGCCGCUCAGACCGCCUGUUCAGCUGAGGACGUCGCUCACCCCGCCUGUUCAGCUGAGGACUCAGCUGAACAGGCGGGCUGAGCGACGACCUCAGCUGAACAGGCGGGCUGAGCGACGACCUCAGCUGAACAGGGAGGCUGAGCGAC